rnacentral:rRNA from 1 species
UCGAACGAGAGAUGAGGAGCUUGCUCUUCAAAUCGAGUGGCGAACGGGUGAGUAACGCGUGAGGAACCUGCCUCAAAGAGGGGGACAACAGUUGGAAACGACUGCUAAUACCGCAUAAGCCCACAGCUCGGCAUCGAGCAGAGGGAAAAGGAGUAAUCCGCUUUGAGAUGGCCUCGCGUCCGAUUAGCUAGUUGGUGAGGUAAUGGCCCACCAAGGCGACGAUCGGUAGCCGGACUGAGAGGUUGAACGGCCACAUUGGGACUGAGACACGGCCCAGACUCCUAUGGGAGGCAGCAGUGGGGAAUAUUGCACAAUGGGGGAAACCCUGAUGCAGCGACGCCGCGUGGAGGAAGAAGGUCUUCGGAUUGUAAACUCCUGUUGUUGAGGAAGAUAAUGACGGUACUCAACAAGGAAGUGACGGCUAACUACGUGCCAGCAGCCGCGGUAAAACGUAGGUCACAAGCGUUGUCCGGAAUUACUGGGUGUAAAGGGAGCGCAGGCGGGAGAACAAGUUGGAAGUGAAAUCCAUGGGCUCAACCCAUGAACUGCUUUCAAAACUGUUUUUCUUGAGUAGUGCAGAGGUAGGCGGAAUUCCCGGUGUAGCGGUGGAAUGCGUAGAUAUCGGG